AGAAGUGUGGCUCAAGUGGUAGAGCACCAGUCUUAAGCAAAAACAAAAACUAUAAGCUAGUACUGGAAGUCCUGAGUUCAAACCCCAGCAUUGCUA
rnacentral:tRNA from 1 species